rnacentral:misc_RNA from 1 species
AUACACACACACACACACGUCUCAACAUCUUUACCCCCAUUUUUGGUGAGGGAAGCAAGCAUUUUGUUUGUUUAAGGAUCACCAUCACAUUGAAGCCACAUUAGCCCAACCUCUAAUCACACUAUGCAUAGAUUACCAGAAUGGAUUACAGUUUGAGAGCCUGAGCAUGGUGGCUGAUAUGAUCAUCGAUGAAAGUGGCAAUGAAAUAGAAGGAGUGAUCAUAACCAGGUUGCAUUCGCAACAGAAGUGGAACGUUAGCACUUCUGCAUGCCUCUUCAAACUUCUGAGGCAGCAGCUGAUCAUGCAAGAAUUUAUCCUCAUCUCCCUGAUCAAUUAAAAUUGUAGCAGAUACAUCAUGGAACUUUGAGAUCAGGGAAGUAGCAUCAUAUUCCUCCCAAUC